rnacentral:misc_RNA from 1 species
GGAAGUAAAAGCCGUAACAAGGUUUCCGUAGGUGAACCUACGGAAGGAUCAUUAUUGUAUAACCGAGGUGCGAGGGCUGUCGCUGACCCGAAAGGUCGUGCACGCCCGAGUGCCCUCACACACAUCCAUCUCACCCCUAUGUGCACCACCGCGUGGGUCCCCCUUUGGCUUGUUCGGAGGGGGGCUUACGUUUUCACACAAACUUUGUAUGCAGUGUAGAAUGUAUUUUUUGUUUUUGCGAUCACGCAAUCAAUACAACUUUCAACAACGGAUCUCUUGGCUCUC